rnacentral:rRNA from 1 species
AACAUCGCCUCUUGAACAGAUAUAAGAGGUCCAGCCUGCCCGGUGAUACAAUUUAACGGCCGCGGUAUACUGACCGUGCGAAGGUAGCAUAAUCACUUGUUCUUUAAAUGAGGACUAGUAUGAACGGCACCACGAGGGCUUUACUGUCUCCUCCCUUCAAUCAGUGAAACUGACCUCCCUGUGAAGAGGCAGGGAUACUACUAUAAGACGAGAAGACCCCAUGGAGCUUUAAACCCAACAACAGCCCAAACACCACCACCCCUAAAAGUUUUAACGGUAUUGCUAGUUGGUUUUAGGUUGGGGUGACCGCGGAGUAUAAACUAUCCUCCACGACGAACGGGCCUACCCCCUUACCCAAGAGCUACACCUCUAAGGAUUAACACAUUAACGUAAAAUGAUCCAAAUAUUUGAUCAACGAACCAAGUUACCCUGGGGAUAACAGCGCAAUCCAUUUUUAGAGCCCCUAUCGACAAAUGGGUUUACGACCUCGAUGUUGGAUCAGGGUAUCCAGGAGGUGCAGCCGCUUCCAAUGGUUUGUUUGUUCAACAAUUAAAACCC